AUGCAGCUGGUUAGGUCUGGUAAUAGGGUGAUUAAUAUUAUUGGUGAGGUGGGAUCCUUAUUUACAUCCUCUGUAGGAGCAAAGCAAGGGACCAUUUCCCCCCUCCUCUUCAACCUCACCGUCAAUGCGCUGGCCAGAAUCUUGGAUAAAGUUAGGAGGGCUGACCAUCUCGGGGUAGUUGGCCACUUGAUCCCCGGGGGUGGUGUCACUCAUCUGCAAUAUGUUGAUGACGCCAUGGUUAUGGUGGAGGGGUCGGACAUGGACAUAGUGAAUCUUAAGUCCUCCUUUGUUUCGAGGCUAUGUCGGGACUAA
rnacentral:rRNA from 1 species